CAACAAACGAGCAGGACAACGGUCAACAAAUAGAAAAUCAGUCACACACAAAACAUGGACGACUUAGAAGUGAACAAAGAUGCCAGAAGAGCCAGCAUAGGAUCAUGCGUUGAAUGCAAAUCAAUUUCCUCCACUUCAUCGCCAAUGCAAUCACCAAGCCGCAGCAAGAGCCCCUUGGCCAAGGUAUAUGAAAAGGCAACACCCAAAACGGCAGCACCUGAUGGGACAACAAUAGCCACUCGCUAUACGGGUAACAAGAAAAACUACCAGCCAAAUGGUGGCAUCGAUGCUGCUCCUGGCACCGCCAAUGAAGCACCACUCCAUUGCCACGACGAGGACAAUAUCGCCAGCAAACAUUUCGCAAACACUUGUGGCUACGGCGAAACACCAAUCAAGGAUUUCUACCGUGACGCCACUGUUCUCAUCACGGGCGGUACUGGUUUCGUGGGCAAGGUGCUGAUUCAAAAACUGCUGCGUACCUUUGAGGUGCGUAGAAUUUAUAUGCUAAUACGGUGCAAGAAUAACAUGACGGUGGAGCAGCGUUUACAGGAGUACUUUAACGAAACGAUAUUUGAUACGAUACGUGUAGAAAAUGCCAAACUCUUCGAAAAAGUGCAUCCCAUACGUGCAAACUUUAGUGCCAUCGAUCUGGAUAUUGCACCCGCAGAUCGAGAGCUGUUGAGCAAUGAGGUUGCGAUUGUUUUCAAUGUUGUCGCAUCGGUGAAGUUCAAUGAGAAGCUAAGCGAUGCCAUCGACAUCAAUGUUCUGGGCACCAAAAAAAUAUUGGAUCUGGCCAUGGAAAUGAAAACUCUAAAGUCUUUUGUGCAUAUCUCCACACUCUACUGCAACUGCAACAGGAAAUUCAUCAACGAGAAAGUGUACGAGACAGAGAUUGGCUAUGAAAAAAUAAUGCAGAUCUUUCGCAUAUUUGAUGAUGAGACUUUGGAAAAGUUUCGUCCAUGUCUAAUUGGAGAAAUGCCAAAUACCUACACCAUGACCAAGAAAUGUGCAGAGAAUUUGGUGAACCACAAAGCGUUUUAUCUGCCAGCCGGAAUAUUUCGGCCACCAAUCGUCAUGUCAACCUACAAGGAUCCCAUACCCGGCUGGACCGAUAAUCUCUAUGGUCCCUCAGGUUUGUGCACCUGGUCAGCGAGAGGUUUAGUUCGUUGCAUUUAUGGAAAUGCCAAAUAUAAAGCAAAUAUGGUUCCAGCGGAUUAUUGUGUCAAUGCCAUGAUAUCGAGUGCCUGGGAUGUGGCCCGAAGAUAUGCAAUUAGCAAAAGCGAUAGCGAGGCCAAACGUGAAUUGCCCGUCUACAAUUACAUAUUCGAUCGCAACAAUUUGACAUGGGGCCAAUACAUGCAUUUGUCCCGCAAAGGAUUCCAUGAACCAUUCGACAAAGCAUUGUGGUGUUUCUCAUACAUUAUAAUACCAUGGAAGCCAUUACACUAUGCUGCCUCCCUUUUGCUGCAUCAGAUUCCGGCUUACAUAUUGGAUUUGAUUGCCCUGGUUACAGGACAAAAACGCAUGUAUAUUAAAGCAUAUGCAAAGAUUACCAAAAUCAUUUAUAUGAUGUCCUGGUUUGGUCUCAAGCAUUGGACAUUUGCCAAUCGUAAUGUCACCGAGUUGGAUGAACUGUUGACGGAGCGAGAAAAGAAAUAUUUACAAUUUAACAUCAGCACCAUCAAUUGGAUGGAAUAUUUUCGUUCAUAUUUAAGUGGCAUACGGAAAUUUGUCUUCAAGGACACGGAGAAGGAGUUGCAAGCUAGAAAAACGUUUUAUCGAAGAAUUCAGUUCUUACAUUGCUUGUUAAAGACCUCAUUUGGUGCAACACUCAUUGUGUGGCUGGCAAGGAUUUAUUUCAAACUUUUCAAAAUCAUACCAAAAAUUACAUCCUAAGAUUACUCAGCACAACUUCAAUUAAUAACACCACAACAACAAAUGCUAGGUAAUAAGGAGAGGUGAAGGUGGAAAAUCCAAGAAAUACCGCAAACGUCUCUUCGAGAUACUUUACUGUACUUGACUUGACUUGUAGGUGAAUGAGAGUCUGGACAAAGGCAAUUUAAAGACGAGCAGAAGAAAACGAAAGAAAUGAUGAGUCUCAAGAACUGACCUCUUUGGACACCAACACUACAUUCUGGAGUGCUGCAAUGAUGAUGAAGUUGUUGUUGCAGUUGUUGUUGCUGUAACCAAAACCGAUGCUGCUGAUAAUGACCACCAUGACGAUGACGUUGCUGCUAUUGUCCUGGCACUCCUUUCGCAUCAUGAAUCAUUUAGAGUUUGUGCUAGUGUUUUAUUGAGAUGCAUGACUGUGUGCUGCCUGGGUGGGUGUAUUGUACGGAUGUCUGUGUGUGUACUACCGCAUAUGAGCUAUGGAUGUUUGUGUUUGUCCAUGGCCAUAAUA